rnacentral:rRNA from 1 species
CCGGCGACCGGCGCACGGGUGAGUAACACGUAUGCAACCUGCCCGUCUCAGGGGGAUAAGCGGAAGAAAUUCCGUCUAAUACCGCGUAACAACGUUGGGAGGCAUCUCCCGAUGUUUAAAGAUUUAUCGGCUGCGGAUGGCCAUGCGGCGCAUUAGCUAGUCGGCGGGGUAACGGCCCACCGAGGCGACGAUGCGUAGGGGUUCUGAGAGGAAGGUCCCCCACACUGGUACUGAGACACGGACCAGACUCCUACGGAAGGCAGCAG